rnacentral:rRNA from 1 species
UACGUAGGUGGCAAGCGUUGUCCGGAAUUAUUGGGCGUAAAGCGCGCGCAGGCGGAUUGGUCAGUCUGUCUUAAAAGUUCGGGGCUUAACCCCGUGAUGGGAUGGAAACUGGGAAGCUCAGAGUAUCGGAGAGGAAAGCGGAAUUCCUAGUGUAGCGGUGAAAUGCGUAGAUAUUAGGAGGAACACCAGUGGCGAAAGCGGCUUUCUGGACGAAAACUGACGCUGAGGCGCGAAAGCCAGGGGAGCGAACGGG